AAAAAGAAUAGAAAGGAGGAAUUACUUUAGUCACGGACCCAAUGACAACUGGCAUAUAGAUGGUUGCCCCAGGCUCAUGAGAGCAGACAGAGGGCAGGAGAACACCACAGUGGCACUCAUGCAGAUGUCAUUUAGAUACCGACAUGAAGAUUCAUUAUCAGCCAUUGCUUGCAGUUUUCCUACCUUUCUCUGAUCCAAAAUGAACUGACUGUAGAACAAAAGGAAUGGAACAGACACAAAAUCAGGAAAUGGAAUAAUGCUGCAAGUCCCUUUGGGAAACCAGAGGUCUUGUACAUUGCACCACCCACAGGCACAACAAACAUGCUGUGUUCUGUUGAUGAUGACCUUCUCACGUAUGCUGAUCGAUUCACAUGCACUGAAGAAGAGCCAUUGUCUGUUGCAAAUGCUGCAUUUAGGCAGAUUUGUGAGUCAGUGCUUGAGCAAGCAAACUACCGUGGGCGUUCAACAGUUAUUAUUAUUAUUAUUAUUAUUAUUUAUUUCUUAGCUGACGCCCUUAUCCAGGGCGACUUACAAUUGUUACAAGAUAUCACAUUAUUUUUACAUACAAUUACCCAUUUAUACAGCUGGGUUUUUACUGGAGCAAUCUGGGUAAAGUACCUUGCUCAAGGGUACAGCAGCAGUAUCCCCACCGGGGAUUGAACCCACGACCCUCCAGUCAAGAGUCCAGAGCCCUAACCACUACUCCACACUGCUGCACUUGAAGCCACAGCUUCUUAUAUGUUGUUGAGCACAAGAAUAGUGUUGGCUGUAGAAAACUUAUAGACCAGCUCCAUUAACAUUUUCUGAAGCAUGUGCAUGCUAUGACAGACUUGCCCUGGAGGGAUGGAAUUGAUGUCCAGCUAAUGUAAGCCAUUCAUACCUGACUUUUUUUUUUUUUAAAUUAAGUUUGUGAACAGACCAUUUGUUCCAUAAAUGGUUCACUUUUCUCUACUGCACAAACUACAACUUUUUUGCUCUGUAUUGACUUUGAAAGGUGCUUUAAGACAACUGUGUAAGACCGGCAGCUGUAUAAUUGAAUGUCCUCCGAGAUUGUGAGCUCCCACUAUUUCUAGUAAAUAAAGAAAAC